AUUGAACGCUGGCGGCAUGCCUUACACAUGCAAGUCGAACGGCAGCACGGGGCAACCUGGUGGCGAGUGGCGAACGGGUGAGUAAUGCAUCGGAACGUACCUUUCAGUGGGGGAUAACGUAGCGAAAGUUACGCUAAUACCGCAUAUUCUGUGAGCAGGAAAGCAGGGGAUCGCAAGACCUUGCGCUGAUUGAGCGGCCGAUGUCAGAUUAGCUAGUUGGUGAGGUAAAGGCUCACCAAGGCGACGAUCUGUAGCGGGUCUGAGAGGAUGAUCCGCCACACUGGAACUGAGACACGGUACAGACUCCUACGGGAGGCAGCAGUGGGGAGUUUUGGACAAUGGGGGCAACCCUGAUCCAGCCAUGCCGCGUGAGUGAAGAAGGCCUUCGGGUUGUAAAGCUCUUUCGGCCGGGAAGAAAUCGCACGGGCUAAUACCCUGUGUGGAUGACGGUACCGGAAUAAGAAGCACCGGCUAACUACGUGCCAGCCGCCGCAGUAAAAC
rnacentral:rRNA from 1 species